rnacentral:rRNA from 1 species
UAAUACCGCAUAAUGCAGCGGCAUCUUCGGAUGACAGUUGUUAAAGGAGCAAUUCGCUUAAAGAGGAGCCUGCGGCAGAUUAGCUAGUUGGUAAGGUAAUGGCUUACCAAGGCUACCAUCUGUAACCGACCUGAGAGGGUGGUCGGUCACACUGACACUGAAUAACGGGUCAGACUCCUACGGGAGGCAGCAUUCGGGAAUUUUGGGCAAUGGGCGAAAGCCUGACCCAGCAACGCCGCGUGAAGGAUGAAGUCUUUCGGGAUGUAAACUUCGUAAGAAUAGGAAGAAUAAAUGACGGUACUAUUUGUAAGGUCCGGCUAACUACGUGCCAGCAGCCGCGGUAAUACGUAGGGACCAAGCGUUGUUCGGAUUUACUG